CUAAGAUGCUUCUACAAACCAAAAAAAGUUACAUAUUAAAAGGUUGGUUAAAAUGCAUCUCUGAGCUGGCUAGAGGGGGCGUUCAACAGAAAUUUACUACAACUGGAUUAAAGCGUACACAAGGAAUAGAGAUGGUUCAGAUGAGUGAUGACAGAAAUGUGUACUGCAUCAAUACAAUACUGUAUUCUGGGAACGUCAACCUGUUGACCAGACAGAAACAGAACCUCAUCAGUGAUGGGAAGCAUGAAGAUUUGUGGAGGAUCAGAGGGGAUAGGAAGAGUUGUCAAGUAAGUGAGGGGAGAGAAGAUAAGCCCAAAGAAGAUCAGAUGGGUUGGAUAAAGAUUACUUCAG